rnacentral:rRNA from 1 species
AGCAGCGGACGGGUGAGUAACGCGUGGGUAACCUGCCUCAUACAGGGGGAUAACAGUUGGAAACGGCUGCUAAUACCGCAUAAGCGCACAGUACCGCAUGGUACGGUGUGAAAAACUCCGGUGGUAUGAGAUGGACCCGUGUCUGAUUAGGUAGUUGGUGGGGUAACGGCCUACCAAGCCGACGAUCAGUAGCCGACCUGAGAGGGUGACCGGCCACAUUGGGACUGAGACACGGCCCAA